CAUAUGUAUCAUAUUUGAUACGUACAGGUUUUGAGACCAAUUGCAUAACUUUAUGUUAAAAACCUUGUUGAAAACCUUAUUGUAUAAGCAUUCUGGGACUUG